CCUACGGGGGGCAGCAGUGCGGAAUAUUGGUCAAUGGUCGGGAGACUGAACCAGCCAAGCCGCGUGAGGGAUGAAGGUACAGAGUAUCGUAAACCUCUUUUGUCAGGGAACAAAGGCGGGGACGUGUCCCCGGAUGAGUGUACCUGAAGAAAAAGCAUCGGCUAACUCCGUGCCAGCAGCCGCGGUAAUACGGAGGAUGCGAGCGUUAUCCGGAUUUAUUGGGUUUAAAGGGAGCGUAGGCGGUCCGUUAAGUCAGCGGUAAAAUUUCGGGGCUCAACCCCGUCGAGCCGUUGAAACUGGCCGAC
rnacentral:rRNA from 1 species